GCCGUUCGCCUCAGCCAGCUCGGUCCUACUCUUCAGUCUCAUCUCGCUGGAAUAGUGUUGUCAUGUGUGAAGAUCUACACGAAAUUGAGACUUCUGGCACAGUGGCCUGCACUGUUCGAAGUCUGUAAGAUCAGUGCUGAAUUCAAAAUAAUCACCACAGUUCCCCUGCAAUCCAAGCAACUGUUGCUGAAUUGGCUGAUUUGUACAAGAUGCACCAUUUCUGAGGACUUCUGGCACAGUGGCCUGCACUGUUCAAAGUUCGCAAGAUCAGUGCUGAAUUGAAAAGAAUCACCAGUCCCACUGCAAUGGCCAGCACUGUUCGAAGUCCACAAGGUCAUGGAUGAAGUUGCCGUAGACGAAGGAAUUGAAGACAUCACAAUUGGAAUCUGCUCUGACAGAAGAUUGGGCAUCCCACCCUUUGGACAUUGUCAGUUUUAGUGUAUGUCUGUCACACACGUGACACCCAAUCGGAAAGGACUCUUUUUUUUCAGCAACUAAAAAACAGCAGUUAUUUUUGUUUCUUUAAGUGAAAUGUACCUUUUUUCUAGAGAUCUAUUUGCUUGUAUGCACUUCCAGCUCCUUGCUGGUUUAAGAAUAGCACUUGAGUGUGCAUAUGUUUUGUACGUACUGUGUUGAUUUUGACCCAAACUAAAGACAAACAAAAUACCAAAACUAGACUUAAAUAAGACUGGGUAAUGACACAAAUGUGGUCACCAAAGAGGACAACCAAAUGAAUGGUGGACUGCCAGAUGCACGCGCACAUGCAUACAUUAUACGUGCACAUGCAUACAGUAUACGCGCAUGAACGCACACCUACAAGUGUGGACUAAUGCACUUAGUCAAUGAGCUAAAAUAACUGUAUGUAGAGUGAAUUUUAUUUGUGCCCGAUGUGUUCACAUGAAUGCUAAUCCAGCCAGAGAGCACUUUUUCACAGCAACCAAACAAAUUAUUUUCUUAAAGGUGCACUGUGUAGGAUGGUGACCAGAGUAGGCAACUAUGCUGCACAUUGAAACGGUGCUGCCUAUUACCAACUGUGUCCUUUUCAUGAAUAUUUACUUAGUAAUAAACGAAAAUGUAUAAAUGUAUUACGAAAAUGUUUACUAAAAAUCUGUAUUUCUAGAAAUUCAAAAUGACAGUCA